GGAGGGGCAACACAACUCUGUUCUAUUUUCUGGGUCUCUAGCAAGUCCUAGGAGUUUUGGAAGGAUCCUUUUCUGACAUUUCUGAAGGACAGUAAUUCAGAAUCGGCUCCAAGGCACCCAGCCUGCUGUGUUGCUCUUUAAGGAGGAGGGUGUUGAAGUGACCUAUGAAGUUGUGAAGUUGUGAAGCCGUGAGGCUGGAUCUGCACAGAGCGUCCACGGAGCAGAGCCCCAUCUCCAGGCUUCGAGCAGCUCGAGUUUCUCGGGUAUUCCUGUGUCCAGAUGCCGGGUCCAUGGGGCCCUCACUCCUGGGGAUCUGCUGGGGGCCGACUGCAAUCACCAGAAACUAACUCCGACUGCUGCAAACAAAGAAGGAGCUUACUGAAGGACAUUUGGGUCACAGGACAGAAGUAAGGCCAAGGAAGUGGAUCUGGGGCUGAGGAGGCUCUCAAGGAGGUGGGGCCAGCAGCAAGAGCCAUUCAACCACCUCACCCAGGACCACUGCUGAAAUUAACCACGCUGUUUUCAGCCAAGACUCACUGUGUCCCUACCCUGGACCAAGCACCGUCCCAGGCCUUGGGGAUUGUGCAGGAAAUAAAUGAAAAGACAAAGCUCACCCAUUUCUUCCACGCCUGCCCCCAACCACUCAAGAUGCAAAGUCCUAGAGCAGAAGAGCUGAUGGAUGGGCUAAGCUCUGGGCACUGCCUACCCUGGGCUCUUGCUGGGCAGUAAGAGGAUGUGGCACAGUCUCCAGCCACCCUGGGGCAUCCAGACGAGGGAGAACCACGAAAAGGGAGGCAGUGGCCCAGAGAGGCUGCAGGCAGGUCGCUCCUGGAGAGGGGAAUGGUGAGCUGAGCGAGAGGGAGGCUGAGGCUAUGGGGCAGGGCCCGUGUUUCUUGUGGCUGGAUGGAGGGCACUGGGGCCAAGAGAGACAAGGGCAUGGGAACAGAAGGGUGCUCAGGAAGACCAAGGAUGCCAGUCCAGGGAUGAGCUUCACCCCUAGGGCAAUGGGGAGCCUGGAUUUUGGGAGACACAAGGAGUGUUCGGGGUUCGGUGUUGAGGAAGGAAUCCAGGGGAGACAGGAAAACGGGUCAAGUUCACGAGCAAGGGGCGUUUCUUGUCCAUACCCAGGACAGGAUGGGCCCAAAGUGACUCUCUGGGUGCCCAUGUGGUGUCCUCUGAGUCUGUAGCAACAAUAAUCUCAUGAGGUCAGUCAUAAUGCAGGCUCGGCUCCCAGCCAGGGUCGCAACUCUGCUUGAGGUAACUCAUCACCCUUCCAGCCAGCCCAUGAGUAAUGCAUAACAAAUGACCACCAGUUUAUUGGCUCCCAGUUCUGUAGGUCAGAAGUCCAGCAGGGUGUGGCCGGGUUCUCUCCCAAGACCAAAAUGCAAGUGCCAGCCCAGUGGAGUCCCGUCUGGAUGCUCUGGAGAGAAAUGUGCUUCUGAGCUCACUCAAGUCCUUACAGUUGUUGGACUGAGGUCUCUGUUCCUAGGCAGCUGUCAGCUGGGGCCACCGUGCCCCUGGAGGCAGUCACACUCCUCACCAUGUGGCCUUUUCCAGCCUCACACUCUCAACGGCACAUUGAACCUCAUGCUUCCAAUCCCUCUGACUUCCUCUUCCUCCUUCCACGAGGGCACAUCCUCUGCUUUUUAAAGGCAUCACCUGAUUAAACCAGACCCACCCAGCUAGUCUCCCUA
rnacentral:lncRNA from 10 species